rnacentral:lncRNA from 1 species
AAGCGUUUCCUAAGUUCAAGGCAUUCUGUGCUUGGUUGGACAAUGUUCAUGGUAAACGCAUUGGCUGUCUGUUUACUGAUCGAGGCGGGAGUUCACUUCUCAGCAGUUUGAAGCUUUCCUGACUGAGAAGGGAAUCCAGCAUAGCCUCUCAAGUCCUGGAUCUCCAUGGGAGAUUUGUGAGCAAGCAAAGCAAACGUUGCUGCAAGGACUGAAAACAUUGUUGCAUGAUGCCAAUCUCCCUGAGAAGUUUUGGGGGGAGUCUUUGAACUCGUUUGUUUACACUUUUAAUCGCAGGUUGUCAUCACCUAUUGGUUGUACUCCCUAUGAGAAGAUGUUUGGUAAGAAACCCAACAUCAAGCACAUGAGAAUCUUUGGUUCUGACAUGUGGGUACACACCCCACAGAGCAACAAGCUUGGGAAGCGUGGGGCACAUGGUUUGUUCAUGGGGUACGAAAAGGUGCAUACAGGGUAUGGAUGACCAACUCUAAGUCCAUUAAGUUCACAAAGAGUGUUGAGUACAAUCCUAAGUGGGGGGAAAAUGUGGGAAUUUUCCAGAGUUACCCAGAGGAGGAUGAAGGUGAUGUCAAAGAAGCAGCUAAAGCUGAGGAAGCUGCUGAGGAUGAUGAUGACGAUGAUGAUCAGAGUUCGGAUUCCAGUUCAGUGGGCGGCGCUGCUGCUGGUGUCAGUGACAGUGAUGACACAGCAGACUACAAGAGCGCAAAGGCCUCAGUCAGACCAUCUGAUGCGUCUGACAAUGAACUGGAAGAACCACUGUUCACCAUUGGUCACUUUUCUCCUAAGAAGGAGGAGAUGAGUCCAGAAGACUUGCGUCUAGUACGCAGAUCUGAGAGAGCCACCAAGGGCAGACCUCCAAAGAGAUUUGCUGAUGAGUUUGCUAAGACAGCAACUGCUGUUCUUAGUAGCUCAGAGAAGGUAUGGGAACCUUCAAGCUUCAAAGAGGUUCAGGAGUUAACCUCUAAAGAUGCUGAGCCUUGGCUUAAUGCCAUGAAGGCUGAAGUUGAUUCCUUGAACAGGAACCAAACUUGGGAACUGGUACCGGUAGUCCCAGGAAUGAGACUGGUUGGCAGCAAAUGGGUCUUCAAGGCCAAGACAGACCAGAAUGGCAAGGUUGUCAGACACAAAGCCAGAUUGGUUGCCAGAGGUUUUUCACAGGUACCAGGACAGGAUUACCACGAGACCUACUCACCCACCGUCAAAUAUGAGAGCAUUCGGCUGAUGCUCAAGAUAGCUGCAGAGGAGAAACUGCAUGUUUCCCAUCAUGACAUUAAUACAGCUUUUUUGUACGGGAUUCUGGGGGAGGAGCUGUUUAUGCUUCCACCUGAUGGGAUGCAGAUACAGAAGGGAAUGGUCUGUAAACUGCGGAAAUCCUUAUAUGGUCUCAAGCAGAGUGCCAGGUGUUGGAACACAAAACUCACUGAGACGUUGCUUUCUCUAGGUUUUCACCAGGGCAAAGCUGAUCCAUGUGUGUUUGUCAAGGAGGAGGGGCAAAACAAACUGUAUUGUUUAUGUUUUGUUGAUGAUCUUCUGAUGUUUUGGAAGAAUCAGGCUUUCUACCAAAGCACCCUAGCUCAGCUGAAGGAGCACUUUGACAUGAAGGAUCUUGGUGAGGUAUCCAACUAUCUUUCUCUGCAGGUGGAGAGGGACCAAGCAGGUAAUUUUCUGGUACACCAAACACAGAAAAUUGCUGAUGUAUUAACCAGGUUGAAUUUGGUUGAUGCAAACCCAGCAGACACACCGAUGGUGACAGGUUACCAGGUAGACAGUACUGCUGAAGCGUUUUCUGACACAACGCUGUACAGAUGCAUUCUAGGCAAGUUGAAUUUCAUUGCUAGAUGCUCAAGACCUGACAUAGCUGUAAGCACUAACCUGCUUAGCAGACAUGCCAACAAUCCUACUGUUCAGGAUUGGAAAGCUCUGAAGCGCAUAGCCCGCUAUUUGAAAGGGACUUUGCACUACAGGCUGAGGUUCACCAGUCAGAAGACUGGAGGUCUUGAAAUCUUUGCAGAUGCAAGUUUUGGAAGUGACACCACGGAUGGUACAAGCACUUCUGGAGUAUGCUACAUGUACAACCACUGCCUGUUUGACUGGUUGUGCAAGAAGCAGACGACAGUGAGCCUAAGUUCCUGUGAAGCAGAACUCAAUGCUCUGUCAUUUUCACUCAUGGAUUGUGAAUGGUUGAUGCAACUGUUUAAGGACAUCAGAGUUUCUGUGAAAUGUCCUGUACAAGUGUAUCAAGACAAUAGAUCGUGUUUGGCUUUGCUGAACUCGGAGAGUUGCAAGCAAAGGACCAAGUACUUGCAGAUUAAGCUACAUCGUGCAAGAGAGUGUAUUCAGAAAGGACUCAUUCAGGUGUCCUACAUGCCAGGAAAUGAAAUUCCUGCUGAUCUGUUGUCUAAGGUUGUUAACAGAGAACAACUUAAGGUUUACGUACAAAGGUUGCAAUUGGGUUGAACCACAGGUACUACAGGUUACACGGAAAGGGGGAGGAUGUUAGGAUAUUUCCGUUCCACCUUAAAAGGGAGCAGGCUUUGUGAGUCAGAGUCUGCGUAUUUCCUGUUCACAGGAUGUUUAUGUUUUCUGUUGCUUUCGUUUUCUCUCUGGUGUCGCAGACACUAAAGCAGUCGGUCAUGUUUUUCUGUGUUCUGAUCAACGCUGAAUAAACUUGUAAAUAAUGCUC